GCCUGGGGGGCUCAGUCGGUUAAGCGACCGACUUUGGCUCGGGUCACAAUCUCACGGCUCGUGGGUUCGAGCCCCACAUCGGGCU
rnacentral:tRNA from 1 species